AUUGAACGCUGGCGGAAUGCUUUACACAUGCAAGUCGAACGGCAGCACGGACUUCGGUCUGGUGGCGAGUGGCGAACGGGUGAGUAAUGUAUCGGAACGUGCCCAGUCGUGGGGGAUAACGUAGUGAAAAUUACGCUAAUACCGCAUACGAUCUAUGGAUGAAAGCGGGGGAUCGCAAGACCUCGCGCGAUGGGAGCGGCCGAUAUCAGAUUAGGUAGUUGGUGGGGUAAAGGCCCACCAAGCCAACGAUCUGUAGCUGGUCUGAGAGGACGACCAGCCAAACUGGAACUGAGACACGGUCCAGACUCCUACGGGAGGCAGCAGUGGGGAAUUUUGGACAAUGGGCGAAAGCCUGAUCCAGCCAUUCCGCGUGCAGGAUGAAGGCCCUCGGGUUGUAAACUGCUUUUGUACAGAACGAAAAGGUUUCUACUAAUACUAGGAGCUCAUGACGGUACUGUAAGAAUAAGCACCGGCUAACUACGUGUCAGCCGCCGCGGUAA
rnacentral:rRNA from 1 species